GGAAUAUAAUAUGUUUCAGACCUAGAGCUGGGGUCGGUAACUUAAGUAGUGGGGAGAGGGUGUUAUUUUGUAAGGUGUGGGCCAUUGGAUCCCUGCGUCAGCAGUUCAGCUAACGGUGUAGACACAGCACAGAGUUGACAGAAGCACAAGAUCAAGGUACAAGCUCUGUGCAACGUGAUGGAAAAAAUGGAAGAACCCUUAGACAGGAUUGAAUUGGAGUAUUUACGCCUAAAAGAAAAUGUGAAAAGCCUCGAAAUGGAGAUUUUGAGCCUGAAAAAGAAAAUGAAGAAACCAGCAGGAAAACUUGAACGAGCUAAAAGAGCCUGGAGCGAAAUAUUCCAAGCCCUGAAAGAAAAUAACCUCCAUCCCAGAUUGAUAUACCCUGCUAAACUCUCUCUAGAAAUUAAUGGAAAAACAAGAUGCUUCCAAAACAAAGAGGAACUUGGAAAAUUUGCAACCACCAAUCCAAUUCUACAGAGAAUACUGCAGGGCAUUCUAGAGACAGAAAAAAGUACUCGGAUUCCAGGAACAGUGGCAGAGAGGCCUCAAUGCAUGGAGCAGAAAACAGAAUAAAGAAAUAAGCAGAUAACUGAUGGCAAAAAAAGAGCAUAACAGAAAUGAGGCAGAGAAGGUUUUACUCAAAACUGAUCCAAUUGAUAGUAUCAAGUCUGAGAGUAUAGGCAACUACACUGAAGAUAACAAGACUCUACAAUGCACAUUCUGGUCUGAUAACUGCCGGUUUCUGAAGUUCUAUACUAUAUACAAUGUUGUGUUUUUAUUAUAUGCUUAUAUAUUCAAUUAUACUAUGUGUGAUGAUAUAGCCAAUUCUAUUGGAUAUAACAAGAGACAACACAGGAACUAUAGUAGAACUCAUUGUACAACGGUCUUAUGUCUUUUUCUUUCCAUGUGUUUAUAGGAAUAUGUUUUGUUUUGCUUUGUUUUGUUUCUCCCUCUAAUAUAGAAAGGAUAGAAAUACAUGUUUAGACUCAUGCAUGUGUAGAAUCUAUAAACAGUUUACGAGAACUGGUCUUAUGACACAUAAUGAAAUGAACAGAUACUUUGAAGAAAAACAGACCCUAAAAUACCCAGUGCUGAUCCCGGAGUGUCAUAAUGUGACACCCAGCAAUAGUACUAUUCUUUGUUCAGAGUGAUAUUAGCCUGCUUGGGUUUAUUCAAUCUCAACAUAAUUGAAGAUAUGGAUACCUGCAUGUAUGUUUAAGUGUAUAGGAUUGAUAACCAUAUUUCUAAGUUUUUGUUGGAUAGUUGAACAGAACUGGUUGCAAUCUCACUGUUUGAAUCCCCAUUUUAUAUGAUCCACUUUAAUAUCUUGAAUAAUUAUUUGUAAGAAGACAAUCUGUAAUCAAUUAGUGAUUUCUGGUUUUUUUCUUUGACAUUAUGUAUUAUUUCUAUGCAUUUUCUGUUUUGUUCAGUCUUUCUUUAAAUUAAAUUAAAAAAAAAAAAGACACUACAGUACCCAGUGCUGAUCCCGGAGUGUCAUGAUGUGAAAUCCAGCAAUUCUAUUAUUCUUUGUUCAGAAUGAUUUUAAUCUGCUUUAGUUUAAUCUAAACAUAAAUGAAGAUAUGGAUGUUUAAGUGUAUAGGACUGACAACAGUGUUACUAAGUUUUUGUUGGACAGUUGAACAGAACUGUUUGCAGUCUUGCUGUUUGAAUUCCUACUUUACAUGUUCCAUUUUUAUAUCUUGAACAACUAUUUGUAAAACAACAAUAUGUAAACAUCAACUAGUGAUUUCUUACUGGUUCUUUCCUCUCUGAACAUAUGUAGUAUUUCUACCUAUUUUCUGUUUUGUUUAGUCUUUCUUUAAAAUUUUUAAAAAGUUGAGUGCACUAAUAUUUGAUGCAUAUAUGUUUAUCUGUUUAUGUUUUAUUAUUUCCUUAACCAAUAUGUAGUGAGCUUCUUGGUCUUUCGAUCAGUUUUGCCUUGAAAUCCACUUUAUCUGAAAUUAGAAUAGCUUCUCCUGAUUUUUUCUGGGUUCCUACUGAAUAAAAUAUUUUUCCAUUACAAAAAAACAUGCCACUGAAAAGGUGGGAAAGUCUUCUGCUGUUCUUAGCAAUGAUUCAGCUGUGCCUGAUACUGUCCUUGAAAAAGAGCAGUGAUUGACAGGAAAGAGCAACCACAGGUGGGACAGAUUGUAUAUUGAUAAGGUGAUUAUUAAAUUGUCAUCCAUCAGCUGGGUGACAUGCACAUGCCACAGUCCUGCUCUUUCCACAUAAGCUGCAGCUCUGUAUGGCAGGAGCAGUGUCCAUAAAGAGACAUGCUGGCUGCUGUGCCCCCUCUCCACAUAGACCUCUCCACUACCAGGUCAGGUUCAGCAGGCAUGGGCCUCUCCCAGGUCACUCUCUGUGUUCUCAGAGGCCAGCGGUAUCCUGACGCCAACUGCUUCCCAUCCUCAGGAUUGAGAUUACAGCAGACUCACGAUGAAGUCUUGGAAGCCUCAAAGGCCUCAAAGGUGCCUCUUGUCACACAACCUGAGGCACAAGGAAACCAGUAGCAUUCUUCAAUUCACAGUGUGAAUAUAGCCCCAACUUCAUGGGGACACCACCUGCAAAGCAGGGCAAGUCUCACGUGGCAGACAGGAGAUGUUGGUAGCAUCAUCACCCUCAGUCCAAUACAGGUGCCUCCUCUGCAGUGGCCCCUGCAAGUGACUGCACACAGAGGGAAACUUUCUUGCAGCAGAGAGCUUUCCAGGUCACAGGGAAAGCUAGCACCUCCCUGUUUGUAACAUAUGCCCUACCCUGUACUGCUGGGUGUGACCUCUGUACUACUGUGUGUGACCUCACUACUUCUUAAUGUUUAUUCAAGACCUUCAAGCUGUUCUAAAAAAUAAAAAUCCAAGCCAUGCAA